CAGUCAGUGAGCCAGGCUGGUUCUUCUUAUCACAAAAGAUCAAAUGCCCAGGAAUAUGAGUCAUCUGAAGAUUCCUGCUAAUGAGCAGAGCCCUGCACGAGGGUUGACAAGACUGAAGCCCAGAGUUCUUUGUCCAUGAAUGUUGGACAAGAAUGAGCAGUGCCUGCUUCUCUUAACUUCGAAUCUGCUUUAGCAGAAAGAGCUUAAUGGAAAAGCAUGCCCUGCACUUCUGUUUUCCAUGAGGAGCCAGAAGUCAUCAGCAAAGCUGCAGCCCAAGAUGAGAGAAGCCAUUCGCCUCCUGGGGCCUCCAUGGAGUGAAUGCCUUUAAGAUGACAAGAGCUGGGAUGUAGGAGGAAGGUCAUUUUGUCUCCAAUCUCACACUAAGAAAACGACUAUACAUCCAGGUUAUUCUGAACCUUGGAAAAAAACAGAGAAAAAUACAAAGGAAGCAAAGGAACAACAAAAAUUGAGGGAUGAUGAGAAAAAAGAAAUGAAGGGAAGGAAGAAUGAAAAAUAAAGGAGAACUAUAGGAACAAAGGAAGGAAAGAAGGAGAAAAUUGCUCUCUGCUGGAUAAGUGGUGGCCAAGAGAACCACGUGUGCUGGUGGAAAAGCGCUGGACCUGCUGCCCAGCACCACAGCCGACAGCAGCAAAUGGCCAUUGAACACUUCAAAAUGCGG
rnacentral:lncRNA from 10 species